rnacentral:rRNA from 1 species
GCACGAACGCUGUGCGGCGUGCUUAACACAUGCAAGUCGAACGAUGAAGCCCUUCGGGGUGGAUUAGUGGCGAACGGGUGAGUAACACGUGGGCAAUCUGCCCUUCACUCUGGGACAAGCCCUGGAAACGGGGUCUAAUACCGGAUAANACUCCUGCCUGCAUGGGCGGGGGUUGAAAGCUCCGGCGGUGAAGGAUGAGCCCGCGGCCUAUCAGCUUGUUGGUGGGGUAAUGGCCCACCAAGGCGACGACGGGUAGCCGGCCUGAGAGGGCGACCGGCCACACUGGGACUGAGACACGGCCCAGACUCCUACGGGAGGCAGCAGUGGGGAAUAUUGCACAAUGGGCGAAAGCCUGAUGCAGCGACGCCGCGUGAGGGAUGACGGCCUUCGGGUUGUAAACCUCUUUCAGCAGGGAAGAAGCGAAAGUGACGGUACCUGCAGAAGAAGCGCCGGCUAACUACGUGCCAGCAGCCGCGGUAAUACGUAGGGCGCAAGCGUUGUCCGGAAUUAUUGGGCGUAAAGAGCUCGUAGGCGGCUUGUCACGUCGGAUGUGAAAGCCCGAGGCUUAACCUCGGGUCUGCAUUCGAUACGGGCUAGCUAGAGUGUGGUAGGGGAGAUCGGAAUUCCUGGUGUAGCGGUGAAAUGCGCAGAUAUCAGGAGGAACACCGGUGGCGAAGGCGGAUCUCUGGGCCAUUACUGACGCUGAGGAGCGAAAGCGUGGGGAGCGAACAGGAUUAGAUACCCUGGUAGUCCACGCCGUAAACGUUGGGAACUAGGUGUUGGCGACAUUCCACGUCGUCGGUGCCGNAGCUACGCAUNANUUCCCCCCUGGGGAUACGGCCCAAGCUAAACUCAANGAUUGACGGGGNCCNCCAACGCGGANAUGNGCUUAUUCACCACNGANAACNUACAGGNUGNAUNNCNGAAAAUAAAANGGCCCCUNGGGCGNUNAGNGGCUGCUNCCACUUGNNGAAUUGGUAUCCCAAANCACNUUCUUUCCCUCCUUGGGGGGACAAAACCNGUNUNGGNGGGNNCU